GGCACUUUAAUCCAUAUCCACCUUGUGUGCAAUGUCAACCCGACCACACACCCAGCAAACGAUGGGUGCGAGAAGGGUUUCCAUUAUCCACUUCAAUGGUUUUUCUUUUUCAGUCUACAUUCUUUGAGUAAAAAACGAACUCAAAAUACAACUUUCAACAACGGAUCUCUUGGCUCUCGCAUCGAUGAAGAACGCAGCGAAAUGCGAUACGUAAUGUGAAUUGCAGAAUUCAGUGAAUCAUCGAAUCUUUGAACGCACAUUGCGCCUCCUGGUAUUCCGGGAGGCAUGCUUGUUUGAGUAUCARAAACACCUCGGCUUCCCCACCCGUCUCUCUCGAGAGGUUGGUGGUGCAAGUUGGACUUGAGCAAUUUCCAAACUCCCUCAUUCAUUACUGAAAGGAGGGGAUGUGCGGGAUGUUUAAAAUGCAGGUGCAGCUGGGGGGUUCCCUUUCAUUAUCCUAGGCUACAAGCAUUUCUGCUUAAUCCCGUCAAACGGAUUAUACCUUUUUGCUACAGCCAAACGAUAGUUGGGCCCGAAACGCUGACUGAUGCAGGAUGAUUGACAGAUUUCGAAGGGAGGAUCAUCUCCCUCUUCCGAUCUUUGUUGUUCCACUCGAUCUCAAAUCAAGUAAGACUACCCGCUGA
rnacentral:rRNA from 1 species